ensembl:snoRNA predicted gene, 25962
CCUCUCCCUUUUCUGGCUUUGAGAGCACAGGGGUCUGCCCCUUGAGGUACAGUCCCCUUCCACAGCACAGGAGAUGCAGCUGAGCUUCAAGUCUGCAACUGCACAGCUCCAUGAUUCUCGGAGUCCCACCGACAUCGGCUGAGGAGACAAACCACACAGGAAACAAAG